AUAGGUUUUGAACUCAGCUUUCCUGAAAAAUAGAAUAUAGUUUAGUAAAAAGAAUAUUUUAAAAGGUAUAAAUAUUUCCGUUUUGCUGUUUGCUAGCUUUAGCAAAAGUGACAUACCGUUAAGCACUAUUGAUUCUUACUGCUACUGACCCUUUCCGUCCGGAGUGCUGACUGCCUGUGGCUUAUUUCCAUUUUUUCCUGUCGUGGUGGAAGGGCUCUGCCAGCUGCCGUACUCUGCCGUCUCAGGGGACUGCUAUCUCAACAAGCAGAGCAACAGAAGAGGAACGUGUUCUGCUAUGUACUUCAAUUAAAUGUACAGGUACAUCUACGAUGCGGUCCUGUCAACAUUAAGAAGCCAAGGAUUGCACCCAAAUUGUCUUCUGACACACAGAUUGCUAAUCGUACUAAAGAUGUAAUUAAUUAUUUGCAGUCACGUCUAGAUGAUGGUCCAGUUAUUCAUCCUCACUGAGUAGCUCAUUGAGGAGAAAGCUACAGAAGGCUGCAGGACUAACCUGAGAGAUUUGAGCCCUCUUGCUCUGGUCUCCGAGCGUCUAUGGAGGGGAGCAGUGGCACCCUAUGAGUCUGCCAGCACAGCACCAGGCUGCACUUUUCAAGACAGCUUAAUGAAAGCUACAGCUGCUCAGAAGCUUCCUUGCACAAAAGCAGUUAUAAUUGCAGACUUCUCCUCAAGGACAGAUGAUUUAUAGACUUAAACUCUCCAGCCUCUCAGUCACAUGGUCUGAGAGAGGAUGAAGAACAGGCAGAGAGGAACUUCUGCAAAAAGGCGAUGUGAAAAGGGACACUUCAGGCUGUUUUCAACUGCAUUCCUCUGACAACAUGCCUCCUUCAGGUAUCCCUAUUAAACAGUUUUUGCUUCAAGUGUCUUUCCACAAUAACUGACCCUGACAACUGUUAUUCCUACCAGUUGGCUUCUGGAACAUGAAUGCCAACAGACAGUUCAGAGUAACCUAAUAGCAUUUAUUAUUUUUCCUACCUGCUUAGCAGAGUCCAGGUUUCACAAUGUCAAAAUAAUUUGAAUGUUACCAUGCCAUGGAAAAGUUAAACCAGCAGAUUCUGCUGUGGGCUUUCAGUAAGCCAGUCAAGCAAGGAGAAGGGGCGCAGUCUCGUUUUAAAGCAUCGGUAGAUGAAUUGAUGUGCAAUGAAAGUCUGUGUUGGCUCAGUGACAACCUGAAUCAGCAGAGGGCUGGGGCCUGGCAGGGAUGCUGCUGCCGCUGCCACUGCUGCACUUUGCCCUCUAAGGCUUAUUCUCUGCUGCCAGUGGCAGAAGCGCACAGGGAAGUGCCCUGGCUGUAUUAGGGGCUGAAGGUCAUUUUAAAAUAAAAGUUGAAAGUGUAAUGUCUUUUCUGUAUGUUGAUGUCAGCUUUGCAUUCUUG